AACGAACGCUGGCGGCAGGCUUAACACAUGCAAGUCGAGCGCCCCGCAAGGGGAGCGGCAGACGGGUGAGUAACGCGUGGGAAUCUACCGUGCCCUGCGGAAUAGCUCCGGAAACUGGAAUUAAUACCGCAUACGCCCUACGGGGGAAAGAUUUAUCGGGGUAUGAUGAGCCCGCGUUGGAUUAGCUAGUUGGUGGGGUAAAGGCCUACCAAGGCGACGAUCCAUAGCUGGUCUGUGAGGAUGAUCAGCCACAUUGGGACUGAGACACGGCCCAAACUCCUACGGGAGGCAGCAGUGGGGAAUAUUGGACAAUGGGCGCAAGCCUGAUCCAGCCAUGCCGCGUGAGUGAUGAAGGCCCUAGGGUUGUAAAGCUCUUUCAACGGUGAAGAUAAUGACGGUAACCGUAGAAGAAGCCCCGGCUAACUUCGUGCCAGCCGCCGCUGUAAUAC
rnacentral:rRNA from 1 species